GUGUUACGGACAUUUAAUGCGCGGUCCACUAACAGAACCGUGAACAAAUUGACGACCCGGUUGCUGGGCAGACACGCCCCGGCCGGCCUCAAGGUGCGUCGGGUUGACACCCACCGGGCCACCGCCCCCGAGGGUGACGCUGCGAGUGGGAGGAAGGUGUUAUAAAAGGUCGGGGAGUGAUCACUCCCUCACUCUUUCCGCCACUAUGGACUGUUUGGAUUUUGACAAGGACAAGAAGGCUUGUGCAGCAAAAAAGGGUGAUAAAGUGAAAUGUGAUAAAAAGAGUGGUAGCUCCAGCUCGAGUUCCAGUUCCAGCUCCAGCUCUUCGGAGAAUGAGGGGAAAGAAAAGUGUGGAACGAAGAAGAAGGUGAAGAAGCAUAAGAAAGAGAAGAAGGACAAGAAGGAGAAGAAACACUGCAAGUAAUGGCCGCCAAGCUGUUGGUAGCGACUGACUGAUCGUGCGUCUUGGAUUCCAAGGGGCCCUCUCAUUUUUACAUUAAGCAUAUCCCUCUGUAUAGUUUGUUGUAGCUUUCUGGGUAACUCUUCAUGAUGGUAAUGGGUGGUUAAACAGGCUCUUUUUAUGCACGAGUCCUUAAACGAAAUUAACACUUGACAAAAUUACUUUUAAAAACAGAAGGUCCUUUUUAAAGUCUCUGCAGGAUGAGGCAGAAUUAGAUUUUUGGAUUGAAGUUAAAACAAAGUAAUCUUUUCCAGUGCCUUGAGAGAGAAGCUAACAUUUCAUUCUUCUAAAUUCUUUGGGUUGAACUGUGUUUUGGUUUAGUUUCACUUUUUAAAUCCAGGUCAAUGCAAAUAAUACACUUGGAAGAAGACCAGGCCAGGAAUUGACAGUACUAAAUGACUACUUGGAUUAGUGAGCAAUAUGGGCAUUUAAGGAGAAAUUGUGGGAAAUGAUAGCAAAGAUGCCUUACAGAAAACAAUUAUUAUUAACCACUUCAGUCACUGCUUCAAUAUGCAAGAUCAAAGUAAACUGUCUUGGAUCUGUGUUAUUACAAUAAAUUUUACAAGUCAAAAAUAA